UCUUAAUCACUUGGGACCACAUUCUCCAUGGCAUGAAACGCGGGCAAUGACUUGGGCCAGCCAGCCACAUCUAACCGCAUGAAGUGGCUUCUCUACAAAAGAUGGUAGCGAAACUCAAGCAGAACCUCUUGCUGGUCUGUCUGGUGAUUAGUUCAGUGACUGUCUUCUACUUGGGGCAACAUGCUAUGGAAUGCCAUCACCAAAUAGAGGAGCGAAGCCAACUGACCCGACUGGAGCCAGCCAAAGCAACCACAAGAACCAGCCAGAGCCCGAAGGAAAAUGCCACGCUGGCUUAUAACAAAGACAUGCCUUUAAUAUUUAUUGGGGGUGUACCCCGGAGUGGCACCACCUUGAUGCGGGCGAUGCUAGAUGCUCACCCGGACAUCCGCUGUGGAGAAGAGACACGGGUCAUUCCUCGGAUUUUGGCUGUCAAGCAGAUGUGGGCCCGAUCAAGCAAAGAGAAAAUGCGGCUCAAUGAAGCUGGUGUCACAGACGAGGUGUUGGACUCGGCCAUGCAGGCCUUCCUCUUGGAAAUUAUCGUGAAGCACGGGGAGCCAGCGCCUUACCUGUGCAACAAGGACCCCUUUGCCCUCAAGUCUUUAACUUACCUUGCCAGGAUUUUCCCCAAUGCCAAGUUUAUUUUAAUGGUCAGAGAUGGCCGAGCCUCCGUUCAUUCUAUGAUCUCCAGGAAGGUCACCAUUGCUGGCUUUGAUCUGAGUAGCUACAGGGAUUGCCUGACCAAAUGGAAUCGUGCCAUUGAGAUCAUGUAUAACCAGUGCUUGGAGGCUGGCCUUGACCGUUGCAUGAUGAUGUAUUAUGAGCAGCUGGUCUUGCACCCCGAGCAGUGGCUCAGGACGCUCCUAAAGUUCCUCCACAUCCCGUGGAAUCCUGCAGUUUUGCAUCACGAAGAAAUGAUUGGGAAAGCUGGGGGAGUGUCCCUAUCAAAAGUUGAAAGAUCUACGGACCAAGUUAUUAAGCCAGUUAAUGUGGAAGCCUUGUCAAAAUGGGUUGGAAAAAUCCCCACUGAUGUCCUUCAGGAUAUGCCAGUGAUCGCACCGAUGUUGGGGAAACUUGGCUACGACCCCUAUGCCAACCCACCAAAUUAUGGGAAACCGGAUCAGAAAGUCCUUGAAAACACAAGAAGGGUUUAUAAAGGUGAAUUUCAACUUCCUGACUUCCUAAAAGAAAUGCCACAGGUAAGGAUUCUUGGAGCCCUCAUCUCAUGAAGGAUCUAAGGAAAUAUUAGUAACAUCAAUGACCUUCUGAUUCAAGGGCCAUGCAGAUGAAUACAAUCAGAAUUACUGAUGCGGCGAACUAGAAGAGCGGAUGUGAGUUAAUGAAUGUUGGAGUCAUUUUAAAGAAAGCACGAUGGCAAAAUCUACAAAUAUCUGUUUCCUCAGAAUACGUCCCAUUUCAUAAUGACAUGUAAACCUCUAUCUUUCUUCCGAGAACAGCUGUACUGAAAUGCUGGAGGUGUUUAUAGGGAAUGGUUCUGGAAGCAAGGCAUUAAAGUGGGAGGAUUCCAGGUGGGAAUUUCUCCUGUAUAAAACAUUUUGGAGUUGUGAGAGUCGUGCAGUUGCGGUUAUGCCUCCUAUUAGUCUCUGUGACACUAAUACAAAGAAGAUACAUUGCCAGAUUGAAUCUCAAGCAUUAGAAAUUGCAUUGAUUCCCAUUUACACAAUUGUUUUAAAAACCUCAGAAGAAACUGAAUCGUAUCUCUUCAGUAUUGAUUUAGAAUGUGAGAUAUGUUAACUUUUGAGAUGCUUUCCAUAAGACUGCUAAUUUAACACAUUAGUCUGACACACCCUGAAUUGCAGGGUGUGUCUAUUUUGAUGCAUGUUGGUUCCUUUGUGCAUAUCUUCCAAAGGGAUGAUUGGCAGUCAUGGCUUCACAAGGAUGAAAAAAUGAGGAAUGGCCUGUUCAGCCCUUGCUUUCCUUCACAAAAUACAGGAAAUGAACCACUGCACAGAAUGUCUGUGUUAACUCUUAAAUACACCUUUCCUUCUCCUUUGAAAUGUUUUCUCCACAUGUAGUUCACAUCCAUCAUUAGAUCACCAUACAGCAGACAGCUUCUCUCUGUAUUGUUUUUCCUUCCUUGGACAAUCAUUUUUAAUUUGUGGAAAAUGGUGCUUGUUCCUGUUGUCACCACACCCUUUUACCAAUUUAGCUGAUUUAUGAAAUUAUGUUUUAAUUAUUUAAAAAUGGUUUCUGAGACGAGAAAGAACUUGAAGGUUUAAAAUCCAACAGCCUUUUGUAUUUUAUUUUUCGAAAUAAAAGCUUUAAAUGUGGCAAUUUUUUGAGUCUGGA